rnacentral:rRNA from 1 species
GCCUACACAUGCAAGUCGAACGAGAAGCUAACUUCUGAUUCCUUCGGGAUGAUGAAGUUGGUAGACAGUGGCGAACGGGUGAGUAACGCGUGGGUAAUCUACCCUGUAAGUGGGGGAUAACCCUCCGAAAGGAGGGCUAAUACCGCAUAAUACCUUUACUUCUCAAGAAGCAAAGAUUAAAGAUGGCCUCUAUACUAUGCUAUCACUUCAGGAUGAGCCCGCGUCCUAUUAGUUAGUUGGUGGGGUAAUGGCCUACCAAGACCACAAUGGGUAGCCGGUCUGGGAGGAUGUACGGCCACACUGGGACUGAGAUACGGCCCAGACUCCUACGGGAGGCAGCAGUGGGGAAUAUUGCGCAAUGGGGGAAACCCUGACGCAGCGACGCCGCGUGGAUGAUGAAGGCCUUUGGGUUGUAAAAUCCUGUUUUGGGGGAAGAAAGCUUAAGAGUCCAAUAUACUCUUAAGCCUGACGGUACCCCAAGAGAAAGCUCCGGCUAAUUAUGUGCCAGCAGCCGCGGUAAUACAUAAGGAGCAAGCGUUAUCCGGAAUUAUUGGGCGUAAAGAGCUCGUAGGCGGUUUUAAAAGUCAGGUGUGAAAUUAUCAGGCUCACCCUGAUAAAGUCAUCUGAAACUUUAGACUUGAGGUUAAAAAAGAAAGUGGAAUUCCCGGUGUAGCGGUGAAAUGCGUAAAUAUCGGGAGGAACCCCAGUGGCGAAGGCGGCUUUCUGGUCUAUCU